rnacentral:rRNA from 1 species
AGAGGGUGGCAAGCGUUGUUCGGAAUUAUUGGGCGUAAAGAGCACGUAGGUGGAUUUGUUAGUCAGAUGUGAAAGCCUUUUGUUCAACGGAAGAAUUGCAUCUGAAACUACAAACCUUGAGUAUAGGAGGGGAGAGUGGAACUUCUGGUGGAGCGGUGAAAUGCGUAGAUAUCAGAAGGAACGCCGGCGGCGAAAGCGACUCUCUGGCCUAUAACUGACACUGAGUGUGCGAAAGCUAGGGGAGCAAACGGGAUUAGAUACCCCGGUAGUCCUAGCCGUAAACGAUGGGCACCAAGUAGGGGGAACUACCGAUGUUCUCCCUGCCGUAGCAAACGCAUUAAGUGCCCCGCCUGGGGAGUACGGCCGCAAGGCUA